rnacentral:rRNA from 1 species
UACAGAGGUGUCAAGCGUUGUUCGGAUUCAUUGGGCGUAAAGGGUGCGUAGGCGGCGCGGUAAGUCGGGUGUGAAAUCUCGGAGCUUAACUCCGAAACUGCAUUCGAUACUGCCGUGCUUGAGGACUGGAGAGGAGACUGGAAUUUACGGUGUAGCGGUGAAAUGCGUAGAUAUCGUAAGGAAGACCAGUGGCGAAGGCGGGUCUCUGGACAGUUCCUGACGCUGAGGCGCGAAAGCGUGGGGAGCAAACAGG